rnacentral:rRNA from 1 species
UGGGGAAUAUUGCACAAUGGGCGCAAGCCUGAUGCAGCCAUGCCGCGUGUAUGAAGAAGGCCUUCGGGUUGUAAAGUACUUUCAGCGGGGAGGAAGGCGACAGGGUUAAUAACCCUGCCGAUUGACGUUACCCGCAGAAGAAGCACCGGCUAACUCCGUGCCAGCAGCCGCGGUAAUACGGAGGGUGCAAGCGUUAAUCGGAAUUACUGGGCGUAAAGCGCACGCAGGCGGUCUGUCAAGUCGGAUGUGAAAUCCCCGGGCUCAACCUGGGAACUGCAUUCGAAACUGGCAGGCUAGAGUCUUGUAGAGGGGGGUAGAAUUCCAGGUGUAGCGGUGAAAUGCGUAGAGAUCUGGAGGAAUACCGGUGGCGAAGGCGGCCCCCUGGACAAAGACUGACGCUCAGGUGCGAAAGCGUGGGGAGCGAACAGGAUUAGAUACCCUGGUAGUCCACGCCGUAAACGAUGUCGACUUGGAGGUUGUGCCCUUGAGGCGUGGCUUCCGGAGCUAACGCGUUAAGUCGACCGCCUGGGGAGUACGGCCGCAAGGUU